UUAUAAUAUAGUGUAUGGUGCACACAGGUCUUUGAAACCUGAAGACUAAGUUCAACUCUUUUCAUUAUAAA
rnacentral:tRNA from 1 species